AUUGAACGCUGGCGGCAUGCUUUACACAUGCAAGUCGAACGGCAGCGCGGGCUUCGGCCUGGCGGCGAGUGGCGAACGGGUGAGUAAUACAUCGGAACGUGCCCAGUAGUGGGGGAUAGCUCGGCGAAAGCCGGAUUAAUACCGCAUACGACCUGAGGGUGAAAGCGGGGGAUCUUCGACCUCGCGCUAUUGGAGCGGCCGAUGGCAGAUUAGCUAGUUGGUGGGGUAAAGGCCUACCAAGGCGACGAUCUGUAGCUGGUCUGAGAGGACGACCAGCCACACUGGGACUGAGACACGGCCCAGACUCCUACGGGAGGCAGCAGUGGGGAAUUUUGGACAAUGGGCGAAAGCCUGAUCCAGCAAUGCCGCGUGUGUGAUGAAGGCCUUCGGGUUGUAAAGCACUUUUGGCGGGAACGAAAAGGACUGUGCCAAUACCACGGUUCGAUGACGGUACCCGCAGAAUAAGCACCGGCUAACUACGUG
rnacentral:rRNA from 1 species